rnacentral:rRNA from 1 species
AGACUAAGCCAUGCAUGUCUAAGUAUAAACGCUUCUAUACUGUGAAACUGCGAAUGGCUCAUUAAAUCAGUUAUAGUUUAUUUGAUGGUUCCUACUACAUGGAUAACCGUGGUAAUUCUAGAGCUAAUACAUGCAGAAAGUCCCGACUUCUGGAAGGGAUGUAUUUAUUAGAUCCAAAACCGGCGCGGGUCUUCGGGCCCGGUUGCUUGGUGAUUCAUGAUAACUGCUCGAACCGUAUGGCCUUUGUGCCGACGGUGCUUCAUUCAAAUUUCUGCCCUAUCAACUUUCGAUGGUACGGUAGUGGCCUACCAUGGUUGCAACGGGUGACGGAGAAUUAGGGUUCGAUUCCGGAGAGGGAGCCUGAGAAACGGCUACCACAUCCAAGGAAGGCAGCAGGCGCGCAAAUUACCCAAUCCCGACUCGGGGAGGUAGUGACAAUAAAUAACAAUGCCGGGCUUUCUUAGUCUGGCAAUUGGAAUGAGUACAAUCUAAACCCCUUAACGAGGAACAAUUGGAGGGCAAGUCUGGUGCCAGCAGCCGCGGUAAUUCCAGCUCCAAUAGCGUAUAUUAAAGUUGUUGCAGUUAAAAAGCUCGUAGUUGGAUUUCGGGGCAGCCUGGCUGGUCCGCCGCAAGGCGAGUACUGGUCAGCCGCCCUUCCUCUCGAAAGCCCCGACUGCUCUUUAUUGUAGUGGUCGGGUAGUUCGGGACGUUUACUUUGAAAAAAUUAGAGUGUUCAAGGCAGGCCUACGCCUGAAUACAUUAGCAUGGAAUAAUGGAAGAGGACCUCGGUCCUAUUUUGUUGGUUUCCAGGGCCGAAGUAAUGAUUAAGAGGGACAGUUGGGGGCAUUCGUAUUUAAUUGUCAGAGGUGAAAUUCUCGGAUUUAUGAAAGACGAACAACUGCGAAAGCAUUUGCCAAGGAUGUUUUCAUUAAUCAAGAACGAAAGUUAGGGGUUCGA